CCAGAGAAUAAAAGGGCAUUCCUUAGGGUUGCUGAGGAUUUUCUUUGAUUGUAUUCUGCUAAUGUGUGUGCAAGGCAGAUAUAACACAUUUGUGGAAGGCUCUAGAGACAUUUUCUACAAAUUUUACCCUGGUUUCAGAACAACUUUCUCUGAUCUCUGUGGACAUGCUUAAAAUGGCUGACUCACACAGCAAGACUAUUUAACUGUGCCUAAAAUCAACCCACAUUCAGAUGCUAACUGUAAUCCUAUUCCCUGAUCCAUCAGGAAAAAGAGUCUGAUUGACAUAACUUGUCAAGUGUUCGCCCCAGCUUCUAUCAACUAUGGGGAAGGAAGGGCCAGAAGAGGUGUAACCAUCAUGGCUACCAGGUUUCGAAAUAUUUACAUUACAUACUGCAUUUAUUAAAAUACAAAUUAAAUCUGCAAUAAAAAACUAAUUGACCAUUC
rnacentral:lncRNA from 10 species